ensembl:lncRNA
CCCCCUCCUCCCUCCCUCCCUCCCUCCCUCCGCCGCUACCCAACGUCCACGCGGACACGGACGUGCAGAACACGCGUCUUCCCAAGAUUACAAAACUCGUCGGGGGUUGGGGUAGGGGAAAGGUCUAGGGUCAAAGGUCAGAUGUGGAUCAUGGGUUGGGCUGGGGCAUAGCUAACAUCCCAUAAACUCACCCGCUCCUUCCACGGCUGCUUACGUCAGGCCGCUCAUCGUCUCCCUGACUAAAUGUUGUGUGUUUUGUUUAAUCAGACCUCUAAUAAUGGCCGUGGUGUUCAUUCAGACCUUGUGGUUCGCUUCGUGUCGGCCCCCGGCCCCUGGCCCCCCACAGCCCAGCUCCUGUCGUGGUCCGGCGGUCGGGCUCGAGGUGUCUGCAGGCUUAAUCCUGACGUCACUCGCACGGAGCCGUGAGCACAUUAGGAUAGCGAUAGCGGCACGCUCGAACUUAAGUAGGACAAGGUUGUGCUUAGCUCCCCCACACUCUCUCUCUCCAUGUCUUCCCUGAGCUCACCCCCCCCCACACACACUUGUACCUGAUGGAGUCCGUCUAACACAUGUUAGUUCGGGGGUAUUCAGCAUCCUACCGCGCCACCGUCCCUCCUCGGUUCGGAUAACUGUAACACUGCUACUUUCUUACUCUACUUGCAUUUACCAAAACGUUAAUGUGUAGCGCACUCUUAACUUGUGUUGACGCUAAGCUGAGUCGUCUGCUAAUCGCAUCACCGUAUACCAUGAGGACAUGUGAAGCCUUUUAUUUAAUCUAUUUAUUUGUUUACUUGUUGUCGUCUCAGCCUCUCGGCUCCGCCUCUCUCUCACCCGACGCGACGCCCUCGCUGACUGACCUCUGACCCCUGUAGGCCGUACCGUCGUGAACACGCCUCAAACGGCGCCGGCUGGCUGAUGGACCAUCCGUCGUUCUCCCUGCGGCCCCAAAGUGUGCUCAAACUGCCAGUGUGUCGUCGUGAGACAUCAGACGGGGUCAUGUCCUCGACGGAGGGCGUCUGCGUAGCCUGUGGUCCGAUCUGGAGGAACACGGUCCGGUAGUGAGGCAUUCUGUGGUCUGAUCUGGGGGUACACGGUCCGGUAGUGAGGCGUUCUGUGGUCCGGUAGUGAGGCGGUCUGUGGUCCGGUAGUGAGGUGGUCUGUGGUCCGGUAGUGAGGUGGUCUGUGGUCCGGUAGUGAGGUGGUCUGUGGUCCGGUAGUGAGGUGGUCUGUGGUCCGGUAGUGAGGCGUUCUGUGGUCUGGUAGUGAGGCGUUCAGGUACGAGGAUGCAUUGAGCAGAGCAGUAACGCUGUUGUAACAUCGGGGGUCGUCUUGGGACUGUCUGGUCAGGGCUCCAGGAGUCGGUCUCUGUAGCAGCACCGUGCCAGCCUAGAGAAGGUGUUGAUGGGCUGUGUGGGAUUGGCCCCGACUCUGACCAAUGUCUCCAUUCCCCAGGAUCAGAGGUAGUUCCAAAUUAAAUAUUAAAAUAUUGUCUCGGUGUCUGUUCAGGACUGGUUUUGCGAUGGGCAUGGUUCUUUUAGGACUGGGAGUCAUUUAAAGCAUGUUGUGAUUAUUAUUAUUAUAAUAUAUAUAUUUUUCUUUCGGUGACUAUUUUAAACCACAAGAGGGAGACAACCCAUAUCAUUUCAGGGUAAAUGAUUUUACAGUCUGUAAAUAGUAACUAACUGUACAAAUGAGCUUGCUGGCCUUAUUCUCUCCUUUCUCUUUACUUUAUUUUUUUUUUAAAACCCGUUCAUCUCAGUUCAGAAUCUUUUUGUCGAUCUGAAACUCGACAAACCGCGUUCUGACGCCUUUACGAGGUCUUUAUCGGCGUUGUGAACAGGAACCACCGCGGCCAGAACUUCUGUUGCCGUGCUGUGUUGCCGUCCGCUCCAACUGCAUCUGUUUUACCCCCCCCCCCCCGCGCCACACGGUCUAUGCUGGUGAUUUACUUUUUAAACGAGGCAAAGGGAGGACUUUCUGUUUUUAAUUAGCUGAAGUUUGCACCGAGGCAGGAGAACGCUGCGACACCUCAACACCUCCGCUCCGUGGCGGAGCGUCGCUCGUUACGUUGACUUUGGUUUAUCUUCUGUGAGCCUUUUUAAACAUGUGUUGCUGAUUUGAGUUUAUUUAAUUUAAAUGCAUUGGGGACCGUGUUGUGCACGGGACUUUGACAGAGAGAGGAUAUUCAACUUAUUAAAGUGUAUUGUUUGUGCCAAUGCUAAUAAAGUACACUCGUGCGCUGGGAUAACGGUAGCUAACGCUGUAAUUUACAGUUAACGAAUCUCUACUAAUAAAGGAAAGGAGAACUGUAAUGCUCUGCGUGAUUUCUUCCAUCUGAAGCCUGAGUGGUGCAUGGCUUGGUGAUUGCCUCCGGAUCUGAAUGGUUAUUUAGAGUGAGAAUGCACUUUACACCAGAGGAAUGGUUGGGUUAAUCCUGCAAACACAAUCACUACACCUUUUAAACCAAAUAAAGUUUCUGGAAUGGGUUUGGUUGCAGCUAUAGUAAGACAUUACAAGUGAUUAAUUUAGCAUCUAUUUGAUGAGACAAGGCUUUCUCUUCCAAACGUUGUCUGCUAUCUGUAUGCGGGUGUGGAAGAAAAACACUAAUCAAAAUUAUAAUUCCUAACGAUGGCAGAAAUGGAUUUUUGCAUGUAGAAAAGUAUUUUAAUGU